rnacentral:tRNA from 1 species
GACCUCAUAGCUCAGUUGGCUAGAGCGUUGACUGGACUAAAACUUUCCCUUGCUGGUGUGGGUUCGAAUCCCACCGACGCCG